GCAAUUAAAGACUUCAGAGAAUGCCAGAUUUUUCAGAAUGCAUCAUAGAAUUUUCAAAGCUGUAAGAAAGAGGUGAGGAUGCUGAGAUGUAGAGAGACUGAUUUGCUCAAGAUAACAAAGAGUUUUAUUGAUUUGGGAACCCAUGGAAGGGGGUCAGCUGUGAGAUAUCACAUGAUCAGACUGACUGCCUGACCAGACUGACUGCCAUCCUGUUAAAGGAAUGAAUCACAGUUCAUCUCGCAGAUUUAUGGCAUGCCUACAGAAAAAGUACCUUAUGAUGCAAACCUGAAAGUUUAAAUAAUCUCCUGAAAGUUCCACAAUCAGAUGAGAAAACUGAGGUUCAAAGAAGAUUAUCAUUCCUGUGAAACCUCCCCCCAAAAUCCAUGUUAUCAUCCUUUUGAAUAAUACUGGAGUAAUUUCUGUAUCCAUAAAAGAUGGUGAAUCCUUUUUAGAUAAAUUAUUUAGUUAUGAAAUAAAGGCAAAGGGAUUGAAUUUAACAGGGGCUUGACUUGCUAAGGUCUGGGCCUCUUUUCUAAUGACCCUGCUGAAUAUUACGGGAAACUAUUUUAGAAGCAAUAGGAAUUCAGCUUCAUAGCAUCAGAGAACCUUCUAAGGGGCAGAAUUGAGGGCUUCACUAAGGGAUUAGCUUUAAAAAAAGUGCAAACUAAAAAUUUCAUUUGGAAAUUAGUAGAAUUUCAAGAGAUUCAAGAUCUUCUAAGUUGGUUGUGAUUGCAGAAGAGUGAGGGAAUAGGUAGAGCCUCAGAGAUGGUAACAGGGCUUUGAGAUAUUUGAGAGUGCUACAGUUGUCUAGAGGCCUAAAUUGAAGUUACUUAGUUGUGUGGUGAUAUGGUUCAGCUGUGUCCCCACCCAAAUCUCAUCUUGAAUUGUAGUUCCCAUAAUCCCCACAUGUUGUGGGAGGGACCCAGUGGGAGGUAAUUGAAUCAUGAGGGCAGUUACCCCCCAUGCUGCUGUUCUCAUGAUAGUGAAUAAGUCUCAUGAGAUCUGAUGAUUUUAUAAAGGGGCAUUCCCUUGCACACACUCUCUUGCCUGCACCAUGUAAGAUGUGCAUUUGCUCCUCCUCUGUCUUCUGCCAUGAUUGUGAGACCUCCCCAGCCAUGUGGGGCUGUGAGUCCAUUAAAUCUCUUUUUCUUUAUAAA
ensembl:lncRNA novel transcript